UGUCAUUUCUUGAUAUGUCCA
rnacentral:siRNA from 1 species